UGAAAAUAUUUACAAAUCUGAAAAUUAUUAGUAUAUUGAUUACUAUCCUAUUAAUAUUGAUUUAUUUUA
rnacentral:snoRNA from 1 species